rnacentral:rRNA from 1 species
GAUGAACGCUGGCGGCGUGCCUAAUACAUGCAAGCCGAACGCGCAGCGAAAGGUGCUUGCACCUUUCAAGCGAGUGGCGAACGGGUGAGUAACACGUGGAUAACCUGCCUCAAGGCUGGGGAUAACAUUUGGAAACAGAUGCUAAUACCGAAUAAAACUUAGUAUCGCAUGAUACAAAGUUAAAAGGCGCUACGGCGUCACCUAGAGAUGGAUCCGCGGUGCAUUAGUUAGUUGGUGGGGUAAAGGCUUACCAAGACGAUGAUGCAUAGCCGAGUUGAGAGACUGAUCGGCCACAUUGGGACUGAGACACGGCCCAAACUCCUACGGGAGGCUGCAGUAGGGAAUCUUCCACAAUGGGCGCAAGCCCGAUGGAGCAACGCCGCGUGUGUGAUGAAGGCUUUCGGGUCGUAAAGCACUGUUGUAUGGGAAGAAAUGCUAAAAUAGGGAAUGAUUUUAGUUUGACGGUACCAUACCAGAAAGGGACGGCUAAAUACGUGCCAGCCGCCGCGGUAA